rnacentral:lncRNA from 1 species
GUACCCGGCACAGCUACGAGCACACAGGAUCAUUCAUCAUCCAUUAAAAACAUAUUCUGAUGGCCAAUAACAUUGCGACUAACAACAGCACGAUACCCAGCAACUCCAUAAACCGUGGGAACCUUAAUAAUGUAUUCGCCAAGGCAGUUGCCGCUCAAGACGCCUUUCGCAUGUAGCAGCUUUAAACUUAAUGUAAUUUUUAAGGUUAAAACAUAGAUAUUGAUGUAAUUUUUAAAAAUGGUAACACACACAAAACAGGAAUAUAGCGUCCAGACACAGCAUACAUCACCUCGGGGGAGUCAGCGUGCACCAGGGCGAGCGGCUGCGUGUCAUUGCCGCCCGUGCAAUUAUGGCCCAGCCAGUCGUGUACGGUCACAUUGACUUUGAUGUCCGUGUUGGAGGUAUAGAAGUCCAGGCGGGCAGGACUCUGCAAAAGGGGCCAUGCAACGCAUUCCAGUCGCCCUCACAACAGGCAGACAAGCGAUCCGGGAGCGAGAAAGAAUGACGGCAAUCACGGAGUCCCAGGUUCGGUAACUGAAAGGGCGCGGAGGAUAACGGCUCGCGCUGCGGCACGAGUGCAGCAAUGCGGUUGCUGAUGGCGCGGCAUAUGCAUCAAGGACCACGGAGGCGGACAUCGGCCUGCACGCAUCACGUCCGCCAUCCGUCACGCAGUGCGAAGCCAGUAACACUCGUUACACCUCUCUGGGUAACGCAACCGAUGUGUAAAACGCGCACACACACACACACUCUCUCUCUCUCUCAUCAGCACUUCAGGGGCUCUUAUGCAAACCUCAA